CUACCCUCCUCCUUUCUCAAGCCAAGCAGCUUCUUGCUUGGUGGAACUCGCUUCAAUCCCGGGUGGAAAGUCGGGGGUCGAGAAUCACGCGACCCUCACGUGACCGCCAGUGUCCUCCGCCUCCUCCUCCACCUCACCAUCUCUCAACAGCCAGGACUAGAUUUCUCUCCCCUAGCCGGCCGGCCGCCCCCUCUGAUUUUUUAAAGGAGGAGGAGACUUCAGCCAGAUCUGGCUCUGAGUUACUGCAAUGAGAAGCAAGAGGCUUAAGGUCUCCAGGCUGCAACUGUAAAAUGAGGAGGACUUAACAGACCUCAGACUACUGGAGAGCAAAUGAGAGUAAACUUGAAAAUAUACUUUGUGAAAUUUAUUUGUUCCUGGAAAGCUAUAUGUAAACCCAAUUUAUAAACUGUUUUAUAGCAAAUGCACAA